rnacentral:rRNA from 1 species
GACGAACGCUGGCGGCGUGCCUAAUACAUGCAAGUUGAGCGCUGAAGGUUGGUACUUGUACCAACUGGAUGAGCAGCGAACGGGUGAGUAACGCGUGGGGAAUCUGCCUUUGAGCGGGGGACAACAUUUGGAAACGAAUGCUAAUACCGCAUAAAAACUUUAAACACAAGUUUUAAGUUUGAAAGAUGCAAUUGCAUCACUCAAAGAUGAUCCCGCGUUGUAUUAGCUAGUUGGUGAGGUAAAGGCCCACCAAGGCGAUGAUACAUAGCCGACCUGAGAGGGUGAUCGGCCACAUUGGGACUGGGACACGGCCCAAACUCCUACGGGAGGCAGCAGUAGGGAAUCUUCGGCAAUGGACGAAAGUCUGACCGAGCAACGCCGCGUGAGUGAAGAAGGUUUUCGGAUCGUAAAACUCUGUUGGUAGAGAAGAACGUUGGUGAGAGUGGAAAGCUCAUCAAGUGACGGUAACUACCCAGAAAGGGACGGCUAACUACGUG